GCUUAUGAAGCGGGAUUGCACUACCUUGGUUAAUCGACACCGAGAAGGUGAAUCACGGAACUAGAAUUUUCUGAGGU
rnacentral:tRNA from 1 species